rnacentral:tRNA from 1 species
CGCGGGGUGGAGGAGUAGUACCUCAUAGGUCCCAUAAGCCUAAGACGUCGGUGCAAAUCCGGCCCCCGCAACUA